AACGAACGCUGGCGGCGUGCCUAACACAUGCAAGUCGAACGAGAAUUUUCCCUUCGGGGAAAUAGUAAAGUGGCGCAAGGGUGAGUAACACGUGAAUAAUCUGCCUACGAAUUCGGGAUAACGCGGCGAAAGCUGUGCUAAUACCGGAUAAGACCACAUCUCUUAAGGGAUGUGGCCAAAGGAACCUCAAGUUCCGUUUGUAGAUGAGUUCGCGAACCAUUAGCUUGUUGGCGGGAUAAUAGCCCACCAAGGCUACGAUGGUUAGCCGGCCUGAGAGGGUGAUCGGCCACACUGGAACUGAGACACGGUCCAGACUCCUACGGGAGGCAGCAGUGGGGAAUAUUGCGCAAUGGGCGAAAGCCUGACGCAGCAACGCCGCGUGAGGGAUG
rnacentral:rRNA from 1 species